rnacentral:lncRNA from 13 species
UGAGAUUUCAACAGAACUUCAUGCUUAUGCCAGGAUGCUUCAGAUUAUGUUGUGAACCAGCCUCCCCUACCCACUUCAGGGGUACUUGGAUUUUAAAGUAAAGUGUAACCCUGGAGAUUAUCCUGAGAGGUUUGAACCAUUAUUACAGUGAAAUGGCAAAAACAAGGCCAAUAGGAGGAGAAGGGACUAGCCUGUGCCAACAAGAAUUAUAUGCCAAUGAGAGACCAUCCAAGGAUUUUGAAGAGGACAAUGAGAGAAUGAUGUGAUAUGUUCUGCUUUUUAAGAUAAAGUACAGGAGAGUACAGGAGAAGGCAACUUCAUUUGAAAUCCUGAAAGAUGGUCCUGAGUUCAGAACUGAGUAAGAGACUCAGAUGUCUCCUAUCAACUACAAUACAUGCUCCAGGCCACCAUCACCGCAAUUCCAGAGAGGUAAAAUCAUAGAAAUGAUCUGUUAACUUAUUGUUUUGAACAAUUUGUUCUUGAAAAUGACCUUGCAUUGUAGCCUGGGAUCUGGCAUUUUCUUGCCAGCCUUGGAGAUGUGGGGGGCAGUAAGGAGCUCACAGGUUACCGUGAGCAAUUGUAGCUGUAAU